ensembl:lncRNA
UUGGGCUGCUACAGCAAAAUACCAUAAACUGGCUGGCUUAUCAACAACAAAAAUUUAUUUCUCACAGUUCUAGAAGCUGGAAGUCUGAGAUCAGGGUGCCAGCAUGGUCAUGUACUGGAGAGGGUGCUCUUCUGGUCACAGACAGCUGACAUCUUGGAUCCUCAAAUGGCAAAAAGAGAAUAAGCAAGCUCUCUGGCCUCUUAGAAAUGGACUAGUCCCAUUCAUGAAGCUCCACACUCAUGACCUAAUCUCCUCCCACAAGCCCUACCUCUAAAUACUAUCAUUUCAACAUGAAUUUUGAGGUACACAUACAUUCGGUCCAUAACAGCAUCCAAAUACGUGCUAAGAGAAGAAAUUAUGUCCUCUUAUUUCUGCCUCAAGUUGCCCAUUAAUUAAACAAAUUGAUAGGGCCCAUUGACCUGUGAAGGAAUGUUCUCCUCAUAGCACUGUACACAAAAAAGGAGGCUGGGGGAAGGGAAAGUGGUGGGAGAGCAACCUGCUUUUGAGGUUCUCUAGGUGUUGGGUACUAGAGCCUUCACUUUGGGAAGCCUGUCAAUUAGCUGGAGCUAUGACCCUUCAACUUUGUAAAUGAUAAUGUAACACAUUUCUACUGAAGAACUUUAAGACAGAUAAAAAAAAAAAAAUGUUCACAGAAAUGGGCAGAUACCCAGGCAGCAUGGCAACAUAGGUACUCAUCAUGAGCUAAGUGGUUUCAACCUCUCUGCUCCACAGGUCAGGUUAGAAAUUCUAAACGUGCCAAUGAUUAAACAAUGGGGCAAGCACCAAGGAAAGCUUUGCUUCACGUGCAGCAACAGGAUGGAACUACAAGAAAACAAACACUUCCCUAGAAUAUAACUGAGAGCAGCCCCUUGUACUUCCUUCAUCCAAGCCACACCUACAGGCCAAAGAUAUGCUUCUCCAACCAACAGAAAAGAAUAGUGGAGAUGUCAUCGACACAACCUUCUCCCAUAGGAAGGGAAGUGUGAACGUACAAGAGGGUGAUGGAGCUGCAGACAGCCCUGGAUGCCUUGAAGAAGGGUAUAGAACAGCGCCCAGAGAGGACAACUCUCUCCAUCCCUACCCCUGCCCAAAUUCUGGAUUUAUAGUCGCUCAGUAAUCACGAGUAACCUUAACAAGUUUCCCUGGAUCGUUUCAAAUCAAGAAGAUGAAAUCUUCAACUUGUUCUCGACCUUGUCUUUCAACUGACAUCGCCUUGUGCAUCAUUUCAGUGAUGAACUCUAUGACAAGGUCUUCAAGAAUAUCUGCUGGCUCCUCUGUGUAAGUAUUCUGAUCACCCCCCAAAAAAAUAUAUAUU